rnacentral:tRNA from 1 species
AAGGUACUAGUAUAGCCAACAAUACACUGCCUUGUCAAGGCAGAAUCAUGGGUUAAAACCCCAUGUACCUUA